rnacentral:rRNA from 1 species
GCUUAACCGAGGAAUUGCUCGGCGAACUUCCAUUCUUGAGGCAAACAGGGGUGCGCGGAACUCUUGGUGGAGCGGUGGAAUGCGUACAAAUCAAUAGGAACGCCGGUGGCGAAAGCGGCGCACUAGGUUUGCACUGACGCUGAAGUACGAAAGCGUGGGGAGCGAACGGGAUUAGAUACCCCGGUAGUCCACGCCGUUAAACGAUGUGUACUAGGCUGUGGUAGUUCUGACACUUUCACGGCCGAAGCAAAAGCGUUAAGUACACCGCCUGGGGACUACGGUCGCAAGGCUAAAACUCAAAGGAAUUGACGGGGGCUCACACAAGCGGUGGAGCAUGUGGAUUAAUUCGAAGCAACGCGCAGAACCUUACCUGGGUUUGACAUGCAUGUAUGGCUUCCUGGAAACAGGAUAGUCUGCCCUUCGGGGUGAAACUUGCACAGGUGCUGCAUGGCUGUCGUCAGCUCGUGUCGUGAGAUGUUGGGUUAAGUCCCUCAACGAGCGAAACCCCUGCCGUUAGUUGCCAUCGGGUAAUGCCGGGGACUCUAACGGGACUGCCGGUGUCAAACCGGAGGAAGGUGGGGAUGACGUCAAGUCAUCAUGGCUUUUAUGCCCAGG